rnacentral:rRNA from 1 species
GCGCAGCAGGCGAGAAACCUUCGCAAUGCAGGAAACUGCGACGAGGGAACUCCAAGUGCCUACGCUCAGCGUAGGCUGUUCUCAAGCCUAGAAAGCUUGAGGAGUAAGGGCUGGGUAAGACCGGUGCCAGCCGCCGCGGUAACACCGGCAGCCCAAGUGGUAGCCACGUUUAUUGGGUCUAAAGCGUCCGUAGCCGGCUGGGUAAGUUCCUUGGGAAAUUUGGCUGCUUAACAGUCAAGCUUUCAGGGAAUACUGCCCGGCUUGGGACCGGGAGAGGUCAGAGGUACUCCAGGGGUAGGGGUGAAAAUCCAUUAAUCCUUGGGGACCACCGGUAGCGAAGGCGUCUGACCAGAUCGGGUCCGACGGUGAGGGACGAAGGCUAGGGGGCGCGAACCGGAUUAGAUA